rnacentral:tRNA from 1 species
GCCCUGGUGCUGGAAUUGGCAGACAGGCAUGAUUCAGGUUCAUGUGUCGCGAGACGUGGGAGUUCAAGUCUCCCCCAGGGCA